ACAGUGGUAUGACGCUACGUCCGUUGGAUUAUGCCUGAACGCCUCUAAGGUCGUAUCCGUGCUGGACUGCAAUGAUAAAUAAGGGGCAAUUUGCAUUGUAUGGCUUCUAAACCAUUAAAAGUUUGUAAUUUAUUUUACAAACGACAAUGGAUGUGAUGCCAAUGUAAUUUGUAACAUAGUAAAUUGGGAGGAUCAUUGAGGAGGAUCAUAAAAACAUUAUUUAAUACAAUGACAAAGCCUAGAAUCAAUUGUAAACGACUUUUGUAACAGGCAAGGUGUUGUAAGUGGUUGAGCAGCUGCCAUACUGCGAUCCACUGAAGCUUAUCCUUUGCUUGAUGAUUCGA
rnacentral:rRNA from 1 species